rnacentral:rRNA from 1 species
AUUGAACGCUGGCGGCAGGCUUAACACAUGCAAGUCGAGCGGAGUGAUGGUGCUUGCACUAUCACUUAGCGGCGGACGGGUGAGUAAUGCUUAGGAAUCUGCCUAUUAGUGGGGGCCAACAUCUCGAAAGGGAUGCUAAUACCGCAUACGUCCUACGGGAGAAAGCAGGGGAUCACUUGUGACGUUGCGCUAAUAGAUGAGCCUAAGUCGGAUUAGCUAGUUGGUGGGGUAAAGGCCUACCAAGGCGACGACCUGUAGCGGGUCUGAGAGGAUGAUCCGCCACACUGGGACUGAGACACGGCCCAGACUCCUACGGGAGGCAGCAGUGGGGAAUAUUGGACAAUGGGGGGAACCCUGAUCCAGCCAUGCCGCGUGUGUGAAGAAGGCCUUAUGGUUGUAAAGCACUUUAAGCGAGGAGGAGGCUCUUUUGGUUAAUACCCAAGAUGAGUGGACGUUACUCGCAGAAUAAGCACCGGCUAACUCUGUGCCAGCCGCCGCGGUAA